rnacentral:SRP_RNA from 1 species
GACGGAAGGCAAUGUUAGUCCUAUGAAUUGUGUCAGGUCCGGAAGGAAGCAGCACUAAGUAGGUUCUGGCAUGUGCCUUUUUUUGUU